rnacentral:lncRNA from 1 species
GGGCUUUGGACUCUUUAGGGUCCCGCGCUGUUUGGAUCCCACGCUAAAGCAAGGAACAAAAAAUCGUUUCGGGCCCCGCACUUUGGGGCCUCUAUUCUUAAAUUUUGGGGCCUAUAACUUUUUCUGGGGUCCUUGGGCUCUUAAUUUGGGGCCCCGCGCUGAAACACUAAAACAGGGAACAAAAAGAAAACGUUUGGGGCCGAUUUUUGGGGGCCUCGAGUUUUCUGGAGGACUUGGGCUCUUUGGGGCCCCGCACUGGCGCACUGUUUGGGCCCCGCGUUGAAACAGGGAACAAAAAUUUCAGAAAAAAAAAUAGAAGAGAGAAGCGCGGGGCCCCCAAAAGCGCGGGGCCCGUGGCAUAUGCCGCUUCUGCCAUAUGGUUAAUCCGGCACUGA